rnacentral:rRNA from 1 species
GACGAACGCUGGCGGCGUGCUUAACACAUGCAAGUCGAACGAAGUGGCGAACGGGUGAGUAACUCGUAAUCAACCUGCCCUUCAGAGGGGGACAACAGUUGGAAACGACUGCUAAUACCACAUACUGAAGGAUGGGCUUGCGUCUGAUUCGCUAGUUGGAGGGGUAACGGCCCACCAAGGCGAUGAUCAGUAGCGGGGCUGAGAGGAUGAACGGCCACAUUGGGACUGAGACACGGCCCAGAAUCCUACGGGUGGCAGCAGUGGGGAAUCUUCCGCAAUGGACGAAAGUCUGACGGAGCAACGCGGCGUGAGUGAUGACGGCCUUCGGGUUGUAAAGCUCUGUUAAUCGGGACGCGGUACCGGAAUAGAAAGCCACGGCUAACUACGUGCCAGCAGCCGCGGUAAUAC